AAUGAACGUUGGCGGCGUGGAUUAGGCAUGCAAGUCGUGCGGAAAGGCUCCUUCGGGAGUACUCGAGCGGCGUAAGGGAGAGUAACGCGUGGAUAUCUACCCCCUGGACUGGGAUAGCGGCGGGAAACUGCCGGUAAUACCAGAUAAUGUCUGCGGACCAAAGGUGUGAUUCCGCCGGGGGAUGAGUUCGCGUCCUAUUAGCUAGUUGGUAGGGUAAUGGCCUACCAAGGCAAAGAUGGGCACCGGGUGUGAGAGCAUGGCCCGGCUCACUGGGACUGAGACACUGCCCAGACACCUACGGGUGGCUGCAGUCGAGAAUCUUCGGCAAUGGGCGCAAGCCUGACCGAGCGACGCCGCGUGCGGGAUGAAGGCCUUCGGGUUGUAAACCGCUGUCAGAGGGGAGGAAAUGCGUGAGAGUUCUCUCUCACGUUUGACCUAUCCUCAGAGGAAGUACGGGCUAAGUUCGUGCCAGCCGCCGCAGUAAAAC
rnacentral:rRNA from 1 species